rnacentral:rRNA from 1 species
GACGAACGCUGGCGGCGUGCCUAAUACAUGCAAGUCGAACGCUUCUUUUCCCACCGGAGCUUGCUCCACCGGGAAAAGAGGAGUGGCGAACGGGUGAGUAACACGUGGGUAGCCUGCCCAUCAGAAGGGGAUAACACUUGGAAACAGGUGCUAAUACCGUAUAACAAUCGAAACCGCAUGGUUUCGUUUUGAAAGGCGCUUUACGGUGCCGCUGCUGGGUGGACCCGCGGUGCAUUAGCUAGUUGGCGAGGUAACGGCUCACCAAGGCCACGAUGCAUAGCCGACCUGAGAGGGUGAUCGGCCACAUUGGGACUGAGACACGGCCCAAACUCCUACGGGAGGCAGCAGUAGGGAAUCUUCGGCAAUGGACGAAAGUCUGACCGAGCAACGCCGCGUGAGUGAAGAAGGUUUUCGGAUCGUAAAACUCUGUUGUUAGAGAAGAACAAGGGUGAGAGUAACUGUUCACCCCUUGACGGUAUCUAACCAGAAAGCCACGGCUAACUACGUGCCAGCCGCCGCCGUAA